rnacentral:sRNA from 1 species
UCCGUAGGUGAACCUGCGGAAGGAUCAUUAAUGAAACUUCAAAGUCGGCUUUUUGUCGUCUGUGCUGGUGGAGACACAUGUGCACGUCGACGGAGAGUCGCAAAAUCCACACACCUGUGCACCUAUGACUCUGAGUACCGCUUUGCAUGGCUCCUCAUUGGGCCUGGUACUCGAGUACUUUACACACUCUGAAUGUAACGGAAUGUCUAUUUGUACAAUGUACAACUAAAAACAACUUUCAACAACGGAUCUCUUGGCUCUCGCAUCGAUGAAGAACGCAGCGAAAUGCGAUAAGUAAUGUGAAUUGCAGAAUUCAGUGAAUCAUCGAAUCUUUGAACGCACCUUGCACCCUUUGGUAUUCCGAAGGGUACACCCGUUUGAGUGUCAUUGUAAUCUCACCUCUUCGACUUUUGUCGAUCAGUGUGGACUUGGAUGUUGCCGUGUAACGAACGGCUCGUCUGAAAUGCCUGAGUGUACCCUGCUUUGCGGCGUAUUCGGUGUGAUAAAUCUUCACCGGAGUCUGACUUUCGAGUCGCGCUUGUAUCGUAUGGCUCUGUGCUUCCAACCGUCUUAACAAGACAAUCUUUGACAAUUUGACCUCAAAUCGGGUGGGACUACCCGCUGAACUUAAGCAUAUCAAUAAGCGGAGGAAAAGAAACUAACAAGGAUUCCCCUAGUAACGGCGAGUGAAGAGGGAAAAGCUCAAAUUUUGAAUCUGGUGUCUUUGACUCCCGAGUUGUAAUCUAGAGAAGUGUUUUCCGCGUUGGACCGUGUACAAGUUCCCUGGAACGGGGCGUCAUAGAGGGUGAGAAUCCCGUAUAUGCCACGGACUACCAAUGCUCUGUGAUACACUCUCAACGAGUCGAGUUGUUUGGGAAUGCAGCUCAAACUGGGUGGUAAAUUCCAUCUAAAGCUAAAUAUUGGCGAGAGACCGAUAGCGAACAAGUACCGUGAGGGAAAGAUGAAAAGCACUUUGGAAAGAGAGUGAAACAGUACGUGAAAUUGUUGAAAGGGAAACGCUUGAAGU